CAUUUAAAUUAAGUCGAUUAAAAGAAAAAUAAACAUGUUUUCAUAAUAAUAGCACUAUGCAACAAAGAAGAAUGGGCCUUGUAAUGAAGUGGGCCGAAACUCAGGAAAGCCCAAGUGGGCGAAAUCCUCCUCGGUUCCACUAGGGAACUUGAGUUGGAUCCUAAAAAGUCCUCCCACAUGGGAGAAGUCCAACGGUCGUAUGCAGAAAAAGGUGGCUACCAAAGAAAGCAAUUAUUGGUGCUGAUGGAAAGAUGAAACGGCAACAAGCGUUGGACAGUGGGAAAGAAAAACUGCAUUAAUGACCAUUACUCAAAAACAAAAACAAGACUAACUCAUGAUUUCGCAGAUCAAAGCAUCCAUCCUCUUCUUAAAACUUCUCUCUCUCUCUCUCUCUCUCUCUCUCUCUCGAAAACGCCUAGCAUAGCUCAGAAACAGAUCAAAGAAAACCAAAAUCACUUUUCUUAAUCAAAAGCCAAACCCAUUUCAGAAAUGAAGGAUAGGAUUUUCACUCAAACCUUGCCGAGUGCCCAAACCCUAAUCACCAACGAAACCCCCCAAAUGCCAAACGAAAAAAAAAAACACCAUGGAUCAACCUCAAAUACAAACAACUCUCGCAUGGGAAGAAACAGUUAAAGAUACGUUCGUAAAUUCAAAUACGAAGUAAUGAAAGAGGCGAGAAAUUACCAAGUCGAUAUGUUUCGGAGGUGAGCGACUAGGGUCUUAGCUCGGAUUACUCAAAGUUCUAAGGAUAAACUUUGAGCACCCAUUUGAUAUCUUUGAUCUUUGGUGCGGUUUGUGAUAGGAUUUCGACAGGGUAACAGUGCAAAAAUCCCAUUUUCUAAUGAUUGGAUCGCCUCUUUAUAUAGAGUGAAAAUGAGUGGCAAAAUCCAUGAGCUGUCAAGAGAUCAUGAGAAUCAUUCCGUUGGAAGGAAAAUUCUCCUUAGAUUUGUGGUCCCUGAAUGAGGUCUGAUUAACUGAUGCAAUGAAAAACAUUUAUUCACAGGCCAUUUGCACCACUGUGAAUGAUGAACUGAGAUGACAGUAAUUUUGGUCAGUUUGGUUAUGUGAUUAGAGAAAUGGUAAGUGACUUGCACACUUGGAAAUGGCUUCAAUGCAAGUGACACGUUGCGGAUAGUUUGAGAGAAGUCACUAAAGUUUGGGCCCCCCAACUCGUUGUGAAAAUCAACUGGAUAUGUUGAUGCCUCUCAGGAAUCAGAGUUUCCUCUUUUCGACCUCUCCAACCAUUUGCCAUUGAGUUGUUGUGACUUUGCAGGGACACUUGCUGCUGCUUGAUUGUGUACUAAGGCAGAUCUCAUCUCCCUAACGCCUCGAGCUCGAAUGACCGGAGUUAAUGGGUACUUAAACAUUCAACGUCAUUGUGAACUAUCAUUUUCCAAAACCAGGAAUAACACUGCAAGAUACUUUACCGUAUGCGAUUCUGUAGGAUGCUCAUAAUGCAGAAAAACAACAUUCAGCAUUAGUACGCCGAAUUAUGUAUCUGUCCUCAUUAGCUUCCUUUCAUGAAACUGCAGGUAUUUGGUGUGCGUUGGUAGUGUUGGUUUGAUACUGGCUGAAUAUGCUGCUCAUGCUGCAGUUUGAUGAUCACCGUUUUGCAGGGCACGGGAUUUACGGUGUGGAAGGCCAUGGCAUGCUGCAAGUAUAAUGCAUUUGGCUUGGAUGAUGAUGCAGGCUGGACUGUUGAAGAUGUUCCUUGGGGUAACAGAGUUGCUUUGGAUGGUUUAGAUCAAUUUAUCACCAAGAAUGCCACUUUGACAAAUGAGAAAGAAGUCGAUGCACACCCUAUUCGUGCUAUGAAGUUUUUUGUCGUCUGUUGUGUGUUGAUGUUCAGUGCAAGGUGGAUUUAGAUCUUUCAAAGCUUGUUGAAGGUCUCAAGCGUCUUCCUAAGUCAGAUCCUAUGGUUGUUUGAUAUGCUAUGACUUUGCUAGCUAUUCUAAAAAAUCAAUUUGUAAUUAGCAUGAUACAAAUAACAUUUCUGAUUUUGAAUGUGAACUCUUCUUUUUAAAUU